AGAUUGAACGCUGGCGGCAGGCCUAACACAUGCAAGUCGAGCGGUAGAGAGGUGCUUGCACCUCUUGAGAGCGGCGGACGGGUGAGUAAUGCCUAGGAAUCUGCCUAGUGGUGGGGGAUAACGUUCGGAAACGGACGCUAAUACCGCAUACGUCCUACGGGAGAAAGCGGGGGACCUUCGGGCCUCGCGCCAUUAGAUGAGCCUAGGUCGGAUUAGCUAGUUGGUGAGGUAAUGGCUCACCAAGGCGACGAUCCGUAACUGGUCUGAGAGGAUUGAUCAGUCACACUGGAACUGAGACACGGUCCAGACUCCUACGGGAGGCAGCAGUGGGGAAUAUUGGACAAUGGGCGAAAAGCCUGAUCCAGCCAUGCCGCGUGUGUGAAGAAGGUCUUCGGAUUGUAAAAGCAACUUUUAAAGUGGGAGGAAAGGGUUAGUAAACUUAAAUUAACGUUGUCAAACUUUGACGUUUACCGAACCAGAAAUAAAGACAACCCGGACUAAACCUUACGCGCCAGCCAAGCCGACGGUUAAC
rnacentral:rRNA from 1 species